GACUGUGUGAUAUAGUGGUUUGAGUGUUGGACUGUGACUCUGAAGACCAGGGUUCAAAUCCCUGGGCGUUUU